GGAGAGGGAGAAGCAGAUGCCCUGCUGAGCUGGCAGCCCAAGAUGGGGUUCUAUCCUAGGACCUGGAGAUGGUGACCUGAGCCAAAGGCAGAUGCUAACCAUCUGAACUACCAGGCGCCUGGGCUGGGGCUCCUUUAAAAGGAGGAAACACUUGUCCAGUGUCCUGGAGCCUUUUUAAGUGGUGGCCCGCCCUACAUGUGAUGGGAGUAAAUGGAUUAGAGUGGUGACAUUCCCCAGUGGGGCCAAGUGCCAUCUUGGUAAAGAUACCAAGGGACCUUGUUGGUGCCAUGAAGGUGCAACCAGUGAGAAGUUCAGGGGCAUAAUCCUGCAGAGGUUUGCUGGGUCAAAUACUGGCUUUGGCUUACAGAUGGAACCAUGACUGGUGAUGGUUGCAGGAAGUACACGGGACUGGGUCAAAGGCUUUGAGGCAGUGGCUUCGGGCCAACAACUCAGGACGUGUCUGCCAAGCUUUACUGAGGUAUAAUGGACAUACAAUAAAGUGCAUCUGUUUAGACAUCCAA